CCUACGGGAGGCAGCAGUGGGGAAUUUUGGACAAUGGGGGCAGCCCUGAUCCAGCAAUGCCGCGUGAGUGAAGAAGGCCUUCGGGUUGUAAAGCUCUUUUGUCAGGGAAGAAACGGGUGGGGCUAAUAUCCUCAUCUAAUGACGGUACCUGAAGAAUAAGCACCGGCUAACUACGUGCCAGCAGCCGCGGUAAUACGUAGGGUGCAAGCGUUAAUCGGAAUUACUGGGCGUAAAGCGUGCGCAGGCGGUUAUGUAAGUCAGAUGUGAAAUCCCCGGGCUCAACCUGGGAACUGCAUUUGAGACUGCAUGGCUAGAGUGUGUCAGAGGGGGGUAGAAUUCCACGUGUAGCAGUGAAAUGCGUAGAUAUGUGGAGGAAUACCGAUGGCGAAGGCAGCCCCCUGGGAUAACACUGACGCUCAUGCACGAAAGCGUGGGGAGCAAACAGGAUUAGAUACCCUGGUAGUCCACGCCCUAAACGAUGUCUACUAGUUGUCGGGACUUAAUUGUCUUGGUAACGCAGCUACGCGUGAGUAGACCGCCGNGGGAGGUACGGUCGCGAGAGUAAACGUACGAAGAAGUAGAGACGUAGAGACGAGCCGAGGACGACGACGAGGGAGGAGG
rnacentral:rRNA from 1 species